AUUGUUUUUAUUUUGCAGACAAUAGUUGGCAGAAGAUAUAAAUUGAGACGACGUGAGGCAUAGGGAACACAUACCAACCUACCAACUGUACAAGAUGAAUACAAAAGCUUUGUUGUGUUUGCUCGUCGUCUGCAUGCUGCUGGUUGACGUCAGCGAGUCGUUCCGUCGAAGAAGAAGAAAAUUCAUCUACCGUAGACGCUUUCUAUACUGCAGGAGACGUUUCUACAGAAGACGUUGUUUUUAUGGAGACCAGGAAGGUGCCGAAGAACAACAACAAGAUAAUUUCAACGAAGAGCCGCAUGGAGAUAUGGACAAUGACGAAAUGCAAGAAGAACCACAAGAGUAAAACUCGUUUAAAGGUUGCUGUGGCAUUGAAUAAAUAAACAAACAGCACCCAUA